rnacentral:sRNA from 1 species
CAGGAAAUGCUGGAGUUCCUGGGCAGAGGGGAGCUCCUGGAAAAGAUGGUGAAGUUGGUCCUUCUGGUCCUGUGGGCCCGCCGGGUCUAGCUGGUGAAAGAGGAGAACAAGGACCUCCAGGCCCCACAGGUUUUCAGGGGCUUCCUGGUCCUCCAGGGCCUCCUGGAGAAGGUGGAAAACCAGGUGAUCAAGGUGUUCCUGGAGAUCCCGGAGCAGUUGGCCCGUUAGGACCUAGAGGAGAACGAGGAAAUCCUGGGGAAAGAGGAGAACCUGGGAUAACUGGACUCCCUGGUGAGAAGGGAAUGGCUGGAGGACAUGGUCCUGAUGGCCCAAAAGGCAGUCCAGGUCCAUCUGGGACCCCUGGAGAUACAGGCCCACCAGGUCUUCAAGGUAUGCCGGGAGAAAGAGGAAUUGCAGGAACUCCUGGCCCCAAGGGUGACAGAGGUGGCAUAGGAGAAAAAGGUGCUGAAGGCACAGCUGGAAAUGAUGGUGCGAGAGUAAGUGAAAGUAUUCCUUUUCUAGCUGGGCUAGGAACCAACAUUACAGUAUCAUAUGAGUUUCCCUGAACUUUCCAAAAUAAAGUCAGUCAUGUUUCCUUGGUAGUCAGGAGUUGGAGAAUAAUGGCAUGUGAGAUCUGCUGUGAUUCAACCAUGGGUUAUUCAUUUUGCUUACCCUGAAUUAAAUGAAACUUAAAUAAAAACAUA